rnacentral:rRNA from 1 species
GAUGAACGCUAGCGGCAGGCCUAACACAUGCAAGUCGAGGGAGAAGCCCUUUCGGGGGCAGAAACCGGCGCACGGGUGCGUAACGCGUAUGCAACCUACCUUUCACAGGGGGAUAGCCCGAAGAAAUUUGGAUUAAUACCCCAUAAUAUUAUUGGAUGGCAUCAUUUGAUAAUUAAAACUGCGGUGGUGAAAGAUGGGCAUGCGUCCUAUUAGCUAGUUGGAGUGGUAACGGCACCCCAAGGCUACGAUAGGUAGGGGUCCUGAGAGGGAGAUCGCCCACACUGGUACUGAGACAGGGACCAGACUCCUACGGGAGGCAGCAGUGAGGAAUAUUGGUCAAUGGUCGGAAGACUGAACCAGCCAUGCCGCGUGCAGGAAGAAUGCCUUAUGGGUUGUAAACUGCUUUUAUAUGGGAAGAAUAAGGCGUACGUGUACGUUGAUGACGGUACCAUAUGAAUAAGCAUCGGCUAACUCCGUG